rnacentral:rRNA from 1 species
AACCUCCGCAAUGUGAGAAAUCGCGACGGGGGGAUCCCAAGUGCCAUUCUUAACGGGAUGGCUUUUCAUUAGUGUAAAGAGCUUUUGGAAUAAGGGCUGGGCAAGACCGGUGCCAGCCGCCGCGGUAACACCGGCAGCUCUAGUGGUAGCAGUUUUUAUUGGGCCUAAAGCGUCCGUAGCCGGUUUAAUAAGUCUCUGGUGAAAUCCUGUAGCUUAACUGUGGGAAUUGCUGGAGAUACUAUUAGACUUGAGACCGGGAGAGGUUAGAGGUACUCCCAGGGUAGAGGUGAAAUUCUGUAAUCCUGGGAGGACCGCCUGUUGCGAAGGCGUCUAACUGGAACGGUUCUGACGGUGAGGGACGAAAGUUAGGGGCGCGAACCGGAUUAGAUACCCGGGUAGUCCUAACUGUAAACGAUGCGGACUUGGUGUUGGGGUGGCUUUGAGCUGCUCCAGUGCCGAAGGGAGCUGUUAAGUCCGCCGCCUGGGAAGUACGGUCGCAAGACUGAAACUUAAAGGAGUU